rnacentral:rRNA from 1 species
CGUCAGAACGAACGUUGGCGGCAGGCCUAACACAUGCAAGUCGAACGGGACCUUCGGGUCUAGUGGCGGACGGGUGAGUAACGCGUGGGAACGUGCCCUUUGGUUCGGAAUAGCCCUGGGAAACUGGGAGUAAUACCGGAUACGGUCGAGAGACGAAAGAUUUAUCGCCGAAGGAUCGGCCCGCGUUGGAUUAGGUAGUUGGUGGGGUAAUGGCCUACCAAGCCGACGAUCCAUAGCUGGUUUGAGAGGAUGAUCAGCCACACUGGGACUGAGACACGGCCCAGACUCCUACGGGAGGCAGCAGUGGGGAAUCUUAGACAAUGGGCGAAACCCUGAUCUAGCCAUGCCGCGUGAGCGAUGAAGGCCUUAGGGUUGUAAAGCUCUUUCAGUGGGGAAGAUAAUGACGGUACCCACAGAAGAG